rnacentral:rRNA from 1 species
AGAGUUUGAUCCUGGCUCAGAUUGAACGCUGGCGGCAUGCCUAACACAUGCAAGUCGAACGGAAACGAUGGGAGCUUGCUCCCAGGCGUCGAGUGGCGGACGGGUGAGUAAUACUUAGGAAUCUACCCAGUAGCGGGGGACAACUCGAGGAAACUCGAGCUAAUACCGCAUACGCCCUACGGGGGAAAGCGGAGGAUCUUUCGGGACUUCGCGCUAUUGGAUGAGCCUAAGUCGGAUUAGCUUGUUGGUGAGGUAAAGGCUCACCAAGGCGACGAUCCGUAGCUGGUCUGAGAGGACGAUCAGCCACACUGGGACUGAGACACGGCCCAGACUCCUACGGGAGGCAGCAGUGGGGAAUAUUGGACAAUGGGGGCAACCCUGAUCCAGCAAUGCCGCGUGUGUGAAGAAGGCCUGCGGGUUGUAAAGCACUUUCAGUAGAGAAGAAAAGCCCAGGGUUAAUACCCCUGGGUCUUGACGUAACCUACAGAAGAAGCUCCGGCUAACUCCGUGCCAGCAGCCGCGGUAAUACGGAGGGAGCGAGCGUUAAUCGGAAUUACUGGGCGUAAAGCGCGCGUAGGCGGCUUUGUCAGUCGGAUGUGAAAGCCCAGGGCUCAACCCUGGAAUUGCAUUCGAUACUGCAUGGCUAGAGUAUGGUAGAGGGAAGUGGAAUUUCCGGUGUAGCGGUGAAAUGCGUAGAUA